AGCACUCAGAGGCAUUUCGUUUGCCUUGAUCCUGGAGGCGGCCUUCUCCCAUUGCCGAGGAUUUGAAGCGAACUCCUGGCAGAUCAGAAAUGUUCAGGCGAACGGCGGUUAUAUUUGUCCGUGGACCCAAGACUUCGUUGACGGGCAAAUAUGGAACCCUGCAACAAGGACUGUAGUGUGAAUAGCGUGCUGCGCUGCUCUCGCC